AACGGUCUAUACCUGCGGUACCUGCGGAGGGAUCAUUAACGAGAAAACGGCGCUCGCGCCGCCUCUCAAACCAUUGCGUACCAAAUCUUUGUCUCUUGCGGGCAGGGCCCCGGCCCUCCCGCGAGGAACCAAAACAGUCGUUUGAUGUUGUCAGACACAUGCUCAAAAAGAAAAACAACUUUCAACAACGGAUCUCU
rnacentral:misc_RNA from 1 species